UACGUAGGUCCCGAGCGUUGUCCGGAUUUAUUGGGCGUAAAGCGAGCGCAGGUGGUUUAUUAAGUCUGGUGUAAAAGGCAGUGGCUCAACCAUUGUAUGCAUUGGAAACUGGUAGACUUGAGUGCAGGAGAGGAGAGUGGAAUUCCAUGUGUAGCGGUGAAAUGCGUAGAUAUAUGGAGGAACACCGGUGGCGGAAGCGGCUCUCUGGCCCGUAACUGACACUGAGGCUCGAAAGCGUGGGGAGCAAACAGG
rnacentral:rRNA from 1 species